CCGACCUUAGCUCAGUUGGUAGAGCGGAGGACUGUAGUCGGUAAACAGACAAUCCUUAGGUCGCUGGUUCGAAUCCGGCAGGUCGGA
rfam:Beta vulgaris subsp. vulgaris Bvchr8.sca018.con0288.1, whole genome shotgun sequence.